CGAGCGAGAGAGAGCUUGCUUUCUCGAGCGAGUGGCGAACGGGUGAGUAACGCGUGAGGAACCUGCCUCAAAGAGGGGGACAACAGUUGGAAACGACUGCUAAUACCGCAUAAGCCCACGGGUCGGCAUCGACCAGAGGGAAAAGGAGCAAUCCGCUUUGAGAUGGCCUCGCGUCCGAUUAGCUAGUUGGUGAGGUAAUGGCCCACCAAGGCGACGAUCGGUAGCCGGACUGAGAGGUUGAACGGCCACAUUGGGACUGAGACACGGCCCAGACUCCUACGGGAGGCAGCAGUGGGGAAUAUUGCACAAUGGGGGAAACCCUGAUGCAGCGACGCCGCGUGGAGGAAGAAGGUCUUCGGAUUGUAAACUCCUGUUGUUGGGGAAGAUAAUGACGGUACCCAACAAGGAAGUGACGGCUAACUACGUGCCAGCAGCCGCGGUAAAACGUAGGUCACAAGCGUUGUCCGGAAUUACUGGGUGUAAAGGGAGCGCAGGCGGGAAGACAAGUUGGAAGUGAAAUCUAUGGGCUCAACCCAUAAACUGCUUUCAAAACUGUUUUUCUUGAGUAGUGCAGAGGUAGGCGGAAUUCCCGGUGUAGCGGUGGAAUGCGUAGAUAUCGGGAGGAACACCAGUGGCGAAGGCGGCCUACUGGGCACCAACUGACGCUGAGGCUCGAAAGUGUGGGUAGCAAACAGGAUUAGAUACCCUGGUAGUCCACACCGUAAACGAUGAUUACUAGGUGUUGGAGGAUUGACCCCUUCAGUGCCGCAGUUAACACAAUAAGUAAUCCACCUGGGGAGUACGACCGCAAGGUUGAAACUCAAAGGAAUUGACGGGGGCC
rnacentral:rRNA from 1 species